CAAGCAUACUAAUUGAUCACUUGAAAAAUUUAAAUAAAUUAGGAAAAAAAAUAUAUAGGUUUAUAUUACAAAGAGGAUUUCUAUAGAAGAGGCUAAAAUCAAAUAUUGGGAUGCCACAACGAGUAGUAGGUACUAAAGAAGAUCAACAAAGACUAUUCAAGAAGUUUCAUGAUAGUCUAUGGAUGAGACAUAGAAGAAUUUGGGCUACUUUUGUUAAAUUGAAAAAACAAGAUUGAUAGAAGAAAAUGUAUUGAGCUGUAGUUUUAUUUGUAGAAUCUUAUCUAACUUAUUAGACGUAUUCAAAUAUAUGAUAUUAAGAUGGAUUACAUCUAAUAUAUCUUUAGGUUAUUCAUUUUAAAUAGAUUGUAGAUUUGAUGAUUAUGCAUAUA
rnacentral:lncRNA from 1 species